GACGAACGCUGGCGGCGUGCUUUACACAUGCAAGUCGAACGGAAAGGCCCUGCUUUUGUGGGGUGCUCGAGUGGCGAACGGGUGAGUAACACGUGCGUAACCUGCCCUUGACUUUGGGAUAACUUCAGGUAACUGGGGAUAAUACCGGAUAGGAGCUCCUGCUGCAUGGAGGGGGUUGGAAAGUUUCGGCGGUUGGGGGUGGACGGGGGGCUUAUCAGCUUGUUGGUGGGGUAGUGGCUUACCAAGGGUUUGACGGGUAGCCGGCCUGAGAGGGUGGACAGGGACAAGGGUACUGAGGGACGGCCCAGUCGGCAACGUGGGGCAGCAGUGGGAAGUAUGGCACAACGGUGCGGAGCGUGGGAUAGCGGCGUUGCGGUUGUGAUGAGGGUUUGUGGGGUGUGAACCGCUUUCUUCUAUUACGGAGCGUGAGUGACGGUAAUGGAUGAAUAAGCACCGGCUAACUACGUG
rnacentral:rRNA from 1 species